UACGUAGGGCGCAAGCGUUGUCCGGAAUUAUUGGGCGUAAAGAGCUCGUAGGCGGCUUGUCACGUCGGGUGUGAAAGCCCGGGGCUUAACCUCGGGUCUGCAUUCGAUACGGGCUGGCUAGAGUGUGGUAGGGGAGAUCGGAAUUCCUGGUGUAGCGGUGAAAUGCGCAGAUAUCAGGAGGAACACCGGUGGCGAAGGCGGAUCUCUGGGCCAUUACUGACGCUGAGGAGCGAAAGCGUGGGGAGCGAACAGG
rnacentral:rRNA from 1 species